rnacentral:misc_RNA from 1 species
GCAAACUUGGUCAUUUAGAGGAAGUAAAAGUCGUAACAAGGUCUCCGUAGGUGAACCUGCGGAGGGAUCAUUAUUGAAUGGUCUAGGCCUUCAACCCAUCAAACCUGUGGACUUGAAUCCGUGCUUCGGCGCCGUUUGUGCGGCGCCGCCUUUAUGCUGAAAGCUUGAUUUUGUCUGAUUGAUAACAAAAGAUUUAAAACUUUCAACAAAGGAUCUCUUGGCUCUCGCAUCGAUGAAGAACGCAGC